UACGGGGGGGGCAAGCGUUGUUCGGAAUUACUGGGCGUAAAGGGCUCGUAGGCGGCCAACUAAGUCAGACGUGAAAUCCCUCGGCUUAACCGGGGAACUGCGUCUGAUACUGGAUGGCUUGAGUUUGGGAGAGGGAUGCGGAAUUCCAGGUGUAGCGGUGAAAUGCGUAGAUAUCUGGAGGAACACCGGUGGCGAAGGCGGCGAUCCUGGACCAAUACUGACGCU
rnacentral:rRNA from 1 species